rnacentral:rRNA from 1 species
AUUGAACGCUGGCGGCAGGCCUAACACAUGCAAGUCGAACGGUAACAGGAAGCAGCUUGCUGCUUCGCUGACGAGUGGCGGACGUGUGAGUAAUGUCUGGGAAGCUGCCUGAUGGAGGGGGAUAACUACUGGAAACGGUAGCUAAUACCGCAUAAUGUCGCAAGACCAAAGAGGGGGACCUUCGGGCCUCUUGCCAUCGGAUGUGCCCAGAUGGGAUUAGCUUGUUGGUGGGGUAACGGCUCACCAAGGCGACGAUCCCUAGCUGGUCUGAGAGGAUGACCAGCCACACUGGAACUGAGACACGGUCCAGACUCCUACGGGAGGCAGCAGUGGGGAAUAUUGCACAAUGGGCGCAAGCCUGAUGCAGCCAUGCCGCGUGUAUGAAGAAGGCCUUCGGGUUGUAAAGUACUUUCAGCGGGGAGGAAGGGAGUAAAGUUAAUACCUUUGCUCAUUGACGUUACCCGCAGAAGAAGCACCGGCUAACUCCGUG